GUGACCCUGCGGAAGGAUCAUUG
rnacentral:rRNA from 1 species